ACUUUUAGCUGUAUUUGUUCCUAAAUUAGAUUGGUAUCGUUUUCAUCAAACAAAUGCCCUAUUUAUGGCACUUCAUUAUUAUAUCUGUCGGGUAUUGAAGAGCAUUCGGUACAAGUGUGCGCCUAUAGGUAUAUUAAAUUCACUUUACUUACAUGAACCCGCUCGGAGUAGGUAUACAUACUCCCGACACUCUCGUACUGUCUCGUC